rnacentral:lncRNA from 1 species
GAGGAGAUUACUUCGAGCCCCACCCGCUUCAGGAGCAACUGUUAUCACUUCUACAUUCUCUCGCCGAUGGCGUCCUGCUGGCAGACUCGACUUUCCUCCUCACCCUGCACUACUACUGGUUCUGAGCUCCUGUUUUCGAUUGCGGCUCUCAAGGACGCCCAGCCGCUCCGGCACAUUCACUCUCCGGUCUACGCUCCAGAGAUUAGAGGACGAGCACCACCCGUUCCAGGAGCGAUUAUCACUUCUACAUUCGCCGAUGGCGUCCUGCUGGCAGACAGAACUUCGCCUGGCACCCUUACACUUCAUGCUGGAUGCCAGUGUCAUCGCUUGAGACUCAAAGGAAAUGUUCCAGCACGCUCAUUUACGACAAUAACACUCCUGGCCUUACCUCAAGAAUGACAAUCUUCAGCCCGAUCGUCCUGCUGCAGACUCUAAACAGUCAAAUUGCUCUGACCUUCGAAACCGUCGUACGCUUCCGUCUUGGCUGUGUCCUGCACUGUGUUGGCGGCGUGUUAAUGCUCUGAAGGACUGCUUGUCGUCGCCGUCCCGCCACCAUCCAUCGGAUGUACUUCAACAGUUCUUCUCUGUUGCCUUUUGUUUUUUUAUGCAGGCAUAUUUCAUGUUUCGUACAGCAAGCUUUUCUUGUAUGAAAGAGUGGUAUGUUGCUCAGCAAAUGGAUGGUGCUUCUAACAGUUAGGAUAAUACGAAGCAGAACAGCAAAAAGGUCUGGUUACGUGGACACCACCCAGUUUUCCAUAAGGAUUGUCUUCAUGAGCUGAUCUGUAAAAUUUUUGGUGGCGAGAGUAAUGGACAUUCAUUCACAUUGUGCACUAUCGUAGCAGUACGUUGAUAUUGGUGUGUGUGUGUGUGUGUGUGUGUGUGUGUGUGUGUGUGUGUGUGUGUGUGUGUGUGUGCGUGUUACCCGGUUGCAUGCGUAUUGGUUUGUUCAUUUCGUAUGUGCACACCUGUUCUGUGCUCCUUUUGUUCGGUCGAGAACGGAUCUAUGACAAAGCUUCACUGCUAUUCGGCGCACUUCGAAUUCAUUAUUUCGGUAGCAUUUCCAAGGUCACCGUUGUAUACACAACCCGUUGAUGGUUCAUUUCUCCGAUUCAUACCGGUUGAAAGCUGCCUGGUUUGAUGGCUUACUAUCGUCCAUGGGCAUCCGCUUUUGGAAUGAUUUAACAACU